GCAAGCUUCGGGCCGGCAGGUGCGGUAAUAUGCAGGGGGCAAGUGUUAAUCGGGAUUAGUGGGCGUAAAGCGUGCGUUGGUGGUUGGUUAAGUCGGAUGGGAAAGCCCGGGGCUGAACCUGGGAAUUGCAGUGGAUACUGGGAGGCUAGAGUGCGGUAGAGGGUAGUGGAAUUCCCGGUGUAGCAGUGAAAUGCGUAGAGAUCGGGAGGAACAUCCGUGGCGAAGGCGACUACCUGGACCAGCACUGACACUGAGGCACGAAAGCGUGGGGAGCAAACAGGAUUAGAUACCCCUGUAGUC
rnacentral:rRNA from 1 species